GCUUAAAAACACACCAACUCAUCCACACUGGAGAGAGACCGUUCAGCUGUGACGAGUGUGGAAAGUCUUUUACGCACAUUUCAAACUUAAAAUCACACCAACUCAUCCACAGUGGAGUUAAAGCGUACACCUGUGAUCAGUGUGGCAGAGCUUUUACUCACAGUUACAGCUUACAGAGUCAUCUAGUUACCCACUCUGGAAUUAAGGCGUACAGCUGUGACAUUUGUGGAAAAACUUUCAGCCAGAUAGGGAGCCGAAACAUUCACCUACGCAUUCACACCAGACAUGAUGUGUACAGCUGUGAUCAGUGUGGUAAACAGUUUACUACAAACACAGAGUUACGACGUCACAUGUUUACCCACACUGAGGAACGACCUUAUAAAUGUGACCUGUGUGAGAAGACUUUUAAAUCUCCACGUUACCUGAGACGACACCAACAGAUCCACACCAGAAAGACUCUACAAGUGCAGUUACUGUGAGAAGCAGAGCGACACAGAUGGAUCAAGUUCUCAACCCUGUCAUCGCUGUGGGAAAGACUUUUGUUGUGACCUUUGUGGAAAAACUUUAAGUCACUGAAGGACUCUGAAAAUACAUCAACGUAGACACACUGGAGACAAAAUGAACUACUGUAAAGAAUGCGGGAGAGGCUUCACCACUUCAAAGGACUUCAAACAAUAUGAACUCCUUCACAGUGGCGUUAAAAAGCAUGUCUGCGAUCAGUGUGGGUCAUCCUUCAUCAGUGCACGUCAGCUUGAAAAGCAUAAACGAGUCCACACAUGAGAGAAA